UACGUAGGCAGCAAGCGUUGUUCGGAGUUACUGGGCGUAAAGGGUGCGUAGGUGGCUCUAUAAGUAUGGUGUGAAAUCUCCCGGCUUAACUGGGAGGGUGCGCCGUAGACUGUGGGGCUAGAGUGUGGGAGAGGAAAGUGGAAUUCCUGGUGUAGCGGUGAAAUGCGUAGAUAUCAGGAGGAACACCAGUGGCGAAGGCGACUGCCUGGACGGCACCUGACGCUGAGGCG
rnacentral:rRNA from 1 species